rnacentral:rRNA from 1 species
CGGCCGCGGUAUCUUGACCGUGCAAAGGUAGCAUAAUCACUUGUCUCUUAAAUGGGGACCUGUAUGAAUGGCUUUUCAUUCUUUAACUGUCUCUUUUCUCAACCACCGAAUCUUCUUAUCACGUGAAGAAGCGUGAUCACGAAAGUAAGACGAGAAGACCCUGUCGAGCUUCAGCCACUCUUAAAGUAAUAUAAAUGAUUCUUUUAGAACAGCAGCAACUUUAAGUAAGGCUUUGGUUGGGGCAACCAUGGAGAACAAAAAUCCUCCAGUUUAUUAGGAAGAAAACACUUCACCUAAAAAUAUUAGUGAACCAGAUACAGAUUCUGGAAAACGGAAAAAGUUACCGCAGGGAUAACAGCGUUAUCUUCUCUGAGAGCUCAUAUUGACGAGAAGGAUUGCGACCUCGAUGUUGGAUUGGGGUAACCCAAGGGUGUAGCAGCUCU